rnacentral:lncRNA from 1 species
AGAAAGACUCCCUUGGCAUCAAGUACAAAAGCAAUGGGGUAAGGGGGAUCCCAGAAACAAGCAUCACCAUCAGUGAACAUUAAAGGAAGAUCCUGGGGUCACUCACAGCUAAAGGGAUGAAAAGAACCAUUCAGCAGCUACAGCGUGGUGAAAGACUGCACUUGCCUCCUAUGAUCAAGAAAUCAAACUCCAGCAACAAAGCACCACUCCCAGCAGCCAUCUGGAAUUGCUCCUCACUGUGCUGUGAGCUUAUUUGAAUUAUUCCUUGAAGAGAGACAGAGAGACAAAAAACCGGAACUCUUGGAAAUUAAAUGGAAGACAGAGAAAAGCUUAAAUGGUAACACUGUAACACUGGCCCUCCAGUUUCACUUACAGCUUAAUUGUGACACAUUCUACAACAUUUGUCAUUAACACAAACAUAACAACAUAGGAAUUAGAACUACUAGUGCUUAUUUAAGUGACCAUUGUCCAUGGAUUCUUGUUUUAAAGCCUGUUACUAAAACAUCCUGUAAGCCAAGUGCUUCUCCAAAGAUCCCUACUUCAGCACACAAUGGUACCAUUGGGCUAUAAUGAUAAACCGUUUGUGUAUUUACAAGACUGUCUGCAACAAACUGCAAAUAAUUCCCCUGCACAUCAUUACACAGGUGACAAACUAAACCAACCUUACAGCCAACCCAUGUGCAAAGAACAACCCCAAAAUACAGUUGUGGUGUCCCCAUCAAGCUUUAACAAGAAGGCCCAGAGCUUCUCUGCAUUGUCUCCUCUGAACUCUAAAGUCACUAA